AUUCUCAGGCCGACCGGUUUCGUAAUUAUCCGUGAUAAACAAACAGUCAUCGACUUUAUUAAGAAGCAUCUAAAAGCCCUUCAUUGGGAUUCGAUCGCUGAGGUGGAUGCCGAUGAUUCAGAGGAAGGUGAGAAGAUCUUGAUCAUCCAGAAGAAGAUGUGGCUCGUAGGCGAUGGCCACAAGGAUACAGCUUGAUGAUGCAUCGAUGUGAUCAAAUUGUUCGAUCGGGGGCGGUUUUGGGUCGAUUGUUUUCUUGGUAGUUGUUUUAUGGUAUGGAAGUAUUCUAACUGUUGUAUUUGAUUAGUAGGGCCUCAAAUCGCCCUGUUGGCGCUGAGUUAUCGACGCCACCACGUAUUAAAUUUUUCGAAUAGGACUCUUACUGUGCAUGUUAUUUUUUUCUAUGAGUAAUAAGAUUAUGGUUUUG
rnacentral:misc_RNA from 1 species